UACGAAGGGGGCUAGCGUUGCUCGGAAUCACUGGGCGUAAAGGGUGCGUAGGCGGGUCUUUUAAGUCAGGGGUGAAAUCCUGGAGCUCAACUCCAGAACUGCCUUUGAUACUGAGGAUCUUGAGUUCGGGAGAGGUGAGUGGAACUGCGGAGUGUAGAGGUGAAAUUCGUAGAUAUUCGCAAGAACACCAGUGGCGAAGGCGGCUCACUGGCCCGAUACUGACGCUGAGGCACGAAAGCGUGGGGGAGCAAACAGGA
rnacentral:rRNA from 1 species